CAGCAGCCGCGGUAAUACGAAGGGGGCUAGCGUUGCUCGGAAUUACUGGGCGUAAAGGGCGCGUAGGCGGACAGUUCAGUCAGGGGUGAAAGCCCGGGGCUCAACCUCGGAAUUGCCUUUGAUACUGGCUGUCUUGAGUACGGGAGAGGUGUGUGGAACUCCGAGUGUAGAGGUGAGAUUCGUAGAUAUUCGGAAGAACACCAGUGGCGAAGGCAGCCCCCUGGGCCAAUACUGACGCUCAUGCACGAAAGCGUGGGGAGCAAACAGGAUUAGAGACCCGCGUAGUCCCUGUCUCUUAUAC
rnacentral:rRNA from 1 species